rnacentral:misc_RNA from 1 species
GCCUAAAAGACGAAAGACCACACCAAUUUCUGAGUCCUUGGAGGGCAUCAAAGUACAAAGAAAAUCAUUAACUCCAGAGAUUGGGGAGAUAAUGAGACAAGGCUCUGAAGCAGGGACAAGGUCAUCUGAAUCGACGGAACGUGGUGAUCGGUCUCGAUCAUCUAGUGCAAAUCAUUACCUUGGUAAUGAUUUUGAGAAGGACGAAGGCAUGGAUCUUGGUGAUGAUUUUCGUAGAAUGGAUACUAGCAGUAGCAGGUUGGAUACUGAUUCUGAGGAUGAGACAGAAUCUCCCGAGGAAGCAGAGCCUAGUGGCCCU